AAUAUUGGACAAUGGGGGCAACCCUGAUCCAGCCAUGCCGUGUGUGUGAAGACGGUCUUCGGAUUGUAACGCCUUUUAAGUUGGGAGGAAAGGCCUUACGCUAAUACCCUGAAGUUUUGACGUUAACAACCGCAUCAGCACCGGCUAACUCUGUGCUAGCAGACGCGGUACUACAGAGGGUGCAAACGGUAAUAGGAAUUCUUGGGCGUAAAGCGCGCGUAGGUGGUUCAGUAAGCUGGGUGUGAAAUCCCCGGGCUUAACCUAGGAACUGCUUUCAUAACUGCUGAGCUAGAGUACGGUAGAGGGUAGUGGAAUUUCCUGUGUAGCGGUGAAAUGCGUAGAUAUAGGAAGGAACACCAGUGGCGAAGGCGACUACCUGGACUGAUACUGACACUGAGGUGCGAAAGCGUGGGGAGCAAACA
rnacentral:rRNA from 1 species